CGUCUCGUAGUCUCCUUCCGUCGGAACCAUCUGCUUACCGAGUUUGCGUGCUGGUGGUGGCAACUGAUGGAGUUCCUUGUUGCAUCUAGCUGCAAGUUAGCAAUGGUUGUUGCAAUCGGUGAGACGAGAAACUUCCAGCCAGAUAACAAAGAACAGGGCAGAAAAGAAAGACGCAAGAGAUCGAUAGUGCUGCAUGAUCGAUUGAUUACAUGUUGCUGCUGAAACUGAUGAUGACUGGAAGCGGAGACCGGGACGACGACGAGCGCGGGGGUCUCCGUCUCCGUUAUGGCCGCCAUCUGUGGCAGCUGCGGCAUGAGACGAUCCGUGGCGGCAAAGAAGGUCCUCUUAUUGCUCCCGCUGAGCAGGAGAGCUUUGGAUAUCUCCUCGGCUGACACGCUCCAUGACCUCGAGAGGUACUCCAUAGGCUCCAUGGGAGUCUGUAGCGGAGGUAUCACCAUGGACACAAGCCCUUCUUCCUCUUCCAUGUGGUGUGUGGCAAGAAGACCAGCGGCCGUGUCCACUCUCCCUUGGCAAAAUCUCUCCAUUGCCAAGGCCAGGCAAGCAACCAGGUGGGUGUGUCCUUGUUGGAGACCAGACCAGCAGCUAUAGGGAGGGAGCUAUGCACAAGGUGGAGAGAAGCUUGGUACUACUAGCUGGAGUAUUUUAUGGUGGCUUGAUGAGGGUGUGAAGCUAGGGAACAGCAGGGGGACAGUUCCCAGGCAAAAGGACAGAACACACCGUAAAGAAGCGCAGCCUUGCAGGUGCUUGCUUCCUUCCGACUGGGAUUUAAAAACGCAUCUUAUCAUGUCUGGCUUGGGCAGCAGCAGCUGAGUGGUCAGUCUGUACGUGCCUAGAUUGUACUACUCCUUACAUGAUGACUCUUGAAGAAAAAAACUUAGUAGUAUGUCAAGUGUCGUUAGCAGGAUGAUGAAUUAAGCAAUGCAAGGAGGGACAUGCAGCAAACGGUGGGUUGCUUACAAUAGGCCAGCCAGACUUUAAAAGGUUCCGGCCAAUCAAAGUUUGUUGGCAUUGGCAAACCCCCAACCAGACGACGCCAACUUCAGAUUCCGGCCUCGAAACCAAGAUUUUGACUCGGAAACAGAAGCAGCCCAGGAGGCCCAUCGGGCCCAAGGCCUUCAUUCGCUCUCGGCCGGUGUACUCCCCAGGCCCAUCCAUCGAAGCGUCUCUCUCUUGCUUCUAAAAAAACAAAAAACAAAGCGUCUUCUCUUCUUCUCAGGAAAGCCAAGGGGGAGUGGAGUGAAGUGGAGCGGAGUGUAGUUCAUUCAAUUCAAACCAACCCCAACACAGGCAAGCGAUUACCCUAGAAGAAGAGACGGAGCUUCGAAUCAAUGCCCACCACCAUCGCCGACUCUCCGCCACGACCUAGCUAGGGUUUUCGGGACCCUCCCCUCCUCUUCUAGCCUCCGGAUACCGAGGUAAAACCCCUUCGAUUCGAUCCCAUCUUCCCAUUCCACUCACCGCGCAUGACGCGGGCAUAGCAUGCAUCAUGCAAAUCCAGCCGUGUUGAUAUAUUUGCUGCUGCAACCUCACAGCAUCGUUUGGCUCAUGGCGUAGGACUAAAAUAUUUUGAGGUAGGGCGAAUUUGUAUAACAGUCAUAUAACAUUCAAUGUUAUUUCAUUCAAAAUCCAUUUUAUUGUGUUUGUUUUGUAUUUUUGUAAUAAUUCUUAUAAUGUUGUUUUUAAACAUUUAAUAUUUCAGUACAUAGAUUUGUUUU